UACGUAGGCAGCGAGCGUUGUUCGGAGUUACUGGGCGUAAAGGGUGUGUAGGCGGUUAUUUAAGUUUGGUGUGAAAUCUCCCGGCUCAACCGGGAGGGUGCGCCGAAUACUGAAUGACUUGGAGUGCGGGAGAGGUGAGUGGAAUUCCUGGUGUAGCGGUGAAAUGCGUAGAUAUCAGGAGGAACACCGGUGGCGAAGGCGGCAUCCUGGACCAACACUGACACUGAGGAGCGAAAGCCAGGGGAGCAAACGGG
rnacentral:rRNA from 1 species